ACUGGAACCAUAUUCUGAUAAAUCAACCGAAUCAUCCAAAGAAGAUUGGUCAUCCUGAAACUCAUAGAAUCUUCGGUCAGCAUCAGAAUCUACUCUAUUCAAUCGAUCCAUACCUAAAGUAACACGUUCAUCUCGUAAUGGUAAAUCAGCAGCAUUAUACUCAUCCUCCUCACUUUUAGAUAGCACAUCAUCUUUUCUACUUUCGUUAUG
rnacentral:misc_RNA from 1 species